GACGAACGCUGGCGGCGUGCUUAACACAUGCAAGUCGAACGGAAAGGCCCUGCUUUUGUGGGGUGCUCGAGUGGCGAACGGGUGAGUAACACGUGAGUAACCUGCCCUUGACUUUGGGAUAACUUCAGGAAACUGGGGCUAAUACCGGAUAGGAGCUCCUGCUGCAUGGUGGGGGUUGGAAAGUUUCGGCGGUUGGGGAUGGACUCGCGGCUUAUCAGCUUGUUGGUGGGGUAGUGGCUUACCAAGGCUUUGACGGGUAGCCGGCAUGAGAGGGUGACCGGACAAAUUGGGACUGAGAGACGGACCAGAAUGCAACGGGAGGCAGCAGUGGGGAAUAUUGCACAAUGGGCGGAAGCCUGAUGCAGCAACGCCGCGUGCGGGAUGACGGCCUUCGGGUUGUAAACCGCUUUAGCCUGUGACGAAGCGUGAGUGACGGUAAUGGGUAAAGAAGCACCGGCUAACUACGUG
rnacentral:rRNA from 1 species